AUGCAUACCUGUCAGGGAAGAUACCAUGAUCAUGAAGGUGGUUUUCCCAGGGUGAGGCUGAUCCAUUGCACUCCAGAUGUGCUGACCCCUGUGAUUUCCUCAAAUUCGGGUUUAAAAAAAAAAAAAAGAAAAAGAAAAAGAAAAAAUUUAGCCGCAAGGGC